CUAGUGGUACUUUUCCUGCAGGUUUCUGACUAACAGAGUACUUUUAUUCUGUUCUAGUGGUACUUUUACUGCAGGUUUCUGACUAACAGAGUACUUUUAUUCUGUUCUAGUGGUACUUUUCCUGCAGGUUUCUGACUAACAGUACUUUUAUUCUGCUCUAGUGGUACUUUUCCUGCAGGUUUCUGACUAACAGUACUUUUAUUCUGUUCUAGUGGUACUUUUCCUGCAGGUUUCUGACUAACAGUACUUUUAUUCUGCUCUAGUGGUACUUUUACUGCAGGUUUCUGACUAACAGUACUUUUAUUCUGUUCUAGUGGUACUUUUACUGCAGGUUUCUGACUAACAGUACUUUUAUUCUGCUCUAGUGGUACUUUUCCUGCAGGUUUCUGACUAACAGAGUACUUUUAUUCUGUUCUAGUGGUACUUUUACUGCAGGUUUCUGACUAACAGUACUUUUAUUCUGUUCUAGUGGUACUUUUCCUGCAGGUUUCUGACUAACAGAGUACUUUUAUUCUGCUCUACUGGUACUUUUACUGCAGGUUUCUGACUAACAGUACUUUUAUUCUGUUCUAGUGGUACUUUUACUGCAGGUUUCUGACUAACAGUACUUUUAUUCUGUUCUAGUGGUACUUUUACUGCAGGUUUCUGACUAACAGUACUUUUAUUCUGUUCUAGUGGUACUUUUCCUGCAGGUUUCUGACUAACAGAGUACUUUUAUUCUGCUCUAGUGGUACUUUUCCUGCAGGUUUCCGACUAACAGAGUACUUUUAUUCUGUUCUAGUGGUACUUUUCCUGCAGGUUUCUGACUAACAGAGUACUUUUAUUCUGUUCUAGUGGUACUUUUCCUGCAGGUUUCUGACUAACAGAGUACUUUUAUUCUGCUCUACUGGUACUUUUACUGCAGGUUUCUGACUAACAGUACUUUUAUUCUGUUCUAGUGGUACUUUUCCUGCAGGUUUCUGACUAACAGUACUUUUAUUCUGUUCUAGUGGUACUUUUCCUGCAGGUUUCUGACUAACAGUACUUUUAUUCUGCUCUAGUGGUACUUUUACUGCAGGUUUCUGACUAACAGAGUACUUUUAUUCUGCUCUAGUGGUACUUUUCCUGCAGGUUUCUGACUAACAGAGUACUUUUAUUCUGUUCUAGUGGUACUUUUACUGCAGGUUUCUGACUAACAGUACUUUUAUUCUGUUCUAGUGGUACUUUUCCUGCAGGUUUCUGACUAACAGUACUUUUAUUCUGUUCUAGUGGUACUUUUCCUGCAGGUUUCUGACUAACAGUACUUUUAUUCUGCUCUAGUGGUACUUUUACUGCAGGUUUCUGACUAACAGAGUACUUUUAUUCUGUUCUAGUGGUACUUUUACUGCAGGUUUCUGACUAACAGUACUUUUAUUCUGCUCUAGUGGUACUUUUACUGCAGGUUUCUGACUAACAGUACUUUUAUUCUGUUCUAGUGGUACUUUUCCUGCAGGUUUCUGACUAACAGUACUUUUAUUCUGUUCUAGUGGUACUUUUCCUGCAGGUUUCUGACUAACAGUACUUUUAUUCUGCUCUAGUGGUACUUUUACUGCAGGUUUCUGACUAACAGAGUACUUUUAUUCUGCUCUAGUGGUACUUUUCCUGCAGGUUUCUGACUAACAGAGUACUUUUAUUCUGUUCUAGUGGUACUUUUACUGCAGGUUUCUGACUAACAGUACUUUUAUUCUGUUCUAGUGGUACUUUUCCUGCAGGUUUCUGACUAACAGAGUACUUUUAUUCUGCUCUACUGGUACUUUUACUGCAGGUUUCUGACUAACAGUACUUUUAUUCUGUUCUAGUGGUACUUUUCCUGCAGGUUUCUGACUAACAGAGUACUUUUAUUCUGCUCUAGUGGUACUUUUCCUGCAGGUUUCUGACUAACAGAGUACUUUUAUUUUAUUCUACUGGUACUUUUACUGCAGGUUUCUGACUAACAGUACUUUUAUUCUGUUCUAGUGGUACUUUUCCUGCAGGUUUCUGACUAACAGAGUACUUUUAUUCUGUUCUAGUGGUACUUUUACUGCAGGUUUCUGACUAACAGUACUUUUAUUCUGUUCUAGUGGUACUUUUCCUGCAGGUUUCUGACUAACAGAGUACUUUUAUUCUGCUCUAGUGGUACUUUUACUGCAGGUUUCUGACUAACAGUACUUUUAUUCUGUUCUAGUGGUACUUUUCCUGCAGGUUUCUGACUAACAGAGUACUUUUAUUCUGCUCUACUGGUACUUUUACUGCAGGUUUCUGACUAACAGUACUUUUAUUCUGUUCUAGUGGUACUUUUACUGCAGGUUUCUGACUAACAGAGUACUUUUAUUCUGUUCUAGUGGUACUUUUCCUGCAGGUUUCUGACUAACAGUACUUUUAUUCUGUUCUAGUGGUACUUUUCCUGCAGGUUUCUGACUAACAGUACUUUUAUUCUGCUCUAGUGGUACUUUUCCUGCAGGUUUCUGACUAACAGAGUACUUUUAUUCUGCUCUAGUGGUACUUUUCCUGCAGGUUUCUGACUAACAGAGUACUUUUAUUCUGUUCUAGUGGUACUUUUACUGCAGGUUUCUGACUAACAGUACUUUUAUUCUGUUCUAGUGGUACUUUUCCUGCAGGUUUCUGACUAACAGUACUUUUAUUCUGUUCUAGUGGUACUUUUCCUGCAGGUUUCUGACUAACAGAGUACUUUUAUUCUGCUCUAGUGGUACUUUUCCUGCAGGUUUCUGACUAACAGAGUACUUUUAUUUUAUUCUACUGGUACUUUUACUGCAGGUUUCUGACUAACAGUACUUUUAUUCUGUUCUAGUGGUACUUUUCCUGCAGGUUUCUGACUAACAGAGUACUUUUAUUCUGUUCUAGUGGUACUUUUCCUGCAGGUUUCUGACUAACAGAGUACUUUUAUUCUGCUCUACUGGUACUUUUACUGCAGGUUUCUGACUAACAGUACUUUUAUUCUGUUCUAGUGGUACUUUUCCUGCAGGUUUCUGACUAACAGAGUACUUUUAUUCUGCUCUAGUGGUACUUUUCCUGCAGGUUUCUGACUAACAGAGUACUUUUAUUUUAUUCUACUGGUACUUUUACUGCAGGUUUCUGACUAACAGUACUUUUAUUCUGUUCUAGUGGUACUUUUCCUGCAGGUUUCUGACUAACAGAGUACUUUUAUUCUGUUCUAGUGGUACUUUUCCUGCAGGUUUCUGACUAACAGAGUACUUUUAUUCUGUUCUAGUGGUACUUUUACUGCAGGUUUCUGACUAACAGUACUUUUAUUCUGCUCUAGUGGUACUUUUACUGCAGGUUUCUGACUAACAGUACUUUUAUUCUGUUCUAGUGGUACUUUUCCUGCAGGUUUCUGACUAACAGUACUUUUAUUCUGUUCUAGUGGUACUUUUCCUGCAGGUUUCUGACUAACAGUACUUUUAUUCUGCUCUAGUGGUACUUUUCCUGCAGGUUUCUGACUAACAGAGUACUUUUAUUCUGUUCUACUGGUACUUUUACUGCAGGUUUCUGACUAACAGUACUUUUAUUCUGUUCUAGUGGUACUUUUCCUGCAGGUUUCUGACUAACAGAGUACUUUUAUUCUGCUCUACUGGUACUUUUACUGCAGGUUUCUGACUAACAGUACUUUUAUUCUGUUCUAGUGGUACUUUUACUGCAGGUUUCUGACUAACAGAGUACUUUUAUUCUGUUCUAGUGGUACUUUUCCUGCAGGUUUCUGACUAACAGUACUUUUAUUCUGUUCUAGUGGUACUUUUCCUGCAGGUUUCUGACUAACAGUACUUUUAUUCUGCUCUAGUGGUACUUUUCCUGCAGGUUUCUGACUAACAGAGUACUUUUAUUCUGCUCUAGUGGUACUUUUCCUGCAGGUUUCUGACUAACAGAGUACUUUUAUUCUGUUCUAGUGGUACUUUUACUGCAGGUUUCUGACUAACAGUACUUUUAUUCUGUUCUAGUGGUACUUUUCCUGCAGGUUUCUGACUAACAGUACUUUUAUUCUGUUCUAGUGGUACUUUUCCUGCAGGUUUCUGACUAACAGAGUACUUUUAUUCUGCUCUAGUGGUACUUUUCCUGCAGGUUUCUGACUAACAGAGUACUUUUAUUUUAUUCUACUGGUACUUUUACUGCAGGUUUCUGACUAACAGUACUUUUAUUCUGUUCUAGUGGUACUUUUCCUGCAGGUUUCUGACUAACAGAGUACUUUUAUUCUGUUCUAGUGGUACUUUUCCUGCAGGUUUCUGACUAACAGAGUACUUUUAUUCUGCUCUACUGGUACUUUUACUGCAGGUUUCUGACUAACAGUACUUUUAUUCUGUUCUAGUGGUACUUUUCCUGCAGGUUUCUGACUAACAGAGUACUUUUAUUCUGCUCUAGUGGUACUUUUCCUGCAGGUUUCUGACUAACAGAGUACUUUUAUUUUAUUCUACUGGUACUUUUACUGCAGGUUUCUGACUAACAGUACUUUUAUUCUGUUCUAGUGGUACUUUUCCUGCAGGUUUCUGACUAACAGAGUACUUUUAUUCUGUUCUAGUGGUACUUUUCCUGCAGGUUUCUGACUAACAGAGUACUUUUAUUCUGUUCUAGUGGUACUUUUACUGCAGGUUUCUGACUAACAGUACUUUUAUUCUGCUCUAGUGGUACUUUUACUGCAGGUUUCUGACUAACAGUACUUUUAUUCUGUUCUAGUGGUACUUUUCCUGCAGGUUUCUGACUAACAGUACUUUUAUUCUGUUCUAGUGGUACUUUUCCUGCAGGUUUCUGACUAACAGUACUUUUAUUCUGCUCUAGUGGUACUUUUCCUGCAGGUUUCUGACUAACAGAGUACUUUUAUUCUGUUCUAGUGGUACUUUUCCUGCAGGUUUCUGACUAACAGAGUACUUUUAUUCUGCUCUAGUGGUACUUUUACUGCAGGUUUCUGACUAACAGUACUUUUAUUCUGCUCUAGUGGUACUUUUACUGCAGGUUUCUGACUAACAGUACUUUUAUUCUGUUCUAGUGGUACUUUUCCUGCAGGUUUCUGACUAACAGUACUUUUAUUCUGUUCUAGUGGUACUUUUCCUGCAGGUUUCUGACUAACAGUACUUUUAUUCUGCUCUAGUGGUACUUUUACUGCAGGUUUCUGACUAACAGUACUUUUAUUCUGCUCUAGUGGUACUUUUCCUGCAGGUUUCUGACUAACAGUACUUUUAUUCUGCUCUAGUGGUACUUUUCCUGCAGGUUUCUGACUAACAGAGUACUUUUAUUCUGUUCUAGUGGUACUUUUACUGCAGGUUUCUGACUAACAGAGUACUUUUAUUCUGCUCUAGUGGUACUUUUCCUGCAGGUUUCUGACUAACAGUACUUUUAUUCUGUUCUAGUGGUACUUUUACUGCAGGUUUCUGACUAACAGAGUACU